GGAUCAGAUUGUUGGUCGUGCCUCGGUACGUACUGGCAUUAUUGGUUCCUACCUUCUGAAGAACCGCGAUGUCAUUAAUUUGGUGUCGUGGGGAAUCAGGACUGUUACUUUGAAAAAAUUAGAGUGUUUAAAGCAGGCAUACGCUUGAAUACAUUAGCAUGGAAUAAUAGAAUAGGACUU
rnacentral:rRNA from 1 species